rnacentral:rRNA from 1 species
GGAAUAUUGCACAAUGGGCGAAAGCCUGAUGCAGCGACGCCGCGUGAGUGAAGAAGUAUUUCGGUAUGUAAAGCUCUAUCAGCAGGGAAGAAAAUGACGGUACCUGACUAAGAAGCCCCGGCUAACUACGUGCCAGCAGCCGCGGUAAUACGUAGGGGGCAAGCGUUAUCCGGAUUUACUGGGUGUAAAGGGAGCGUAGACGGCGAAGCCAGUCUGAAGGGAAAACCCAGGGCUCCACCCUGGGACUGCUUUGGAAACUGUUUUGCUAGAGUGUCGGAGAAGUAAGUGGAAUUCCUAGUGUAGCGGUGAAAUGCGUAGAUAUUAGGAGGGACACCAGUGGCGAAGGCGGCUUUCUGGACGAUAACUGACGUUGGGGCUCGAAAGCGUGGGGAGCAAACA